GAUGCUGCUCUACAGUCACAGAUGUAAACACGUUUAAUACUGCUGAGCUGGAGGAAAAUGACAACAAAUCACAUUAUAUUCUCAGGUUUGCUCCCCUUUAA